AGUGAACGCUGGCGGUAGGCCUAACACAUGCAAGUCGAACGGCAGCACAGUAAGGGCUUGCUCUUACGGGUGGCGAGUGGCGGACGGGUGAGGAAUACAUCGGAAUCUACUUUUUCGUGGGGGAUAACGUAGGGAAACUUACGCUAAUACCGCAUACGACCUACGGGUGAAAGCAGGGGAUCUUCAGACCUUGCGCGAUUGAAUGAGCCGAUGUCGGAUUAGCUAGUUGGCGGGGUAAAGGCCCACCAAGGCGACGAUCCGUAGCUGGUCUGAGAGGAUGAUCAGCCACACUGGAACUGAGACACGGUCCAGACUCCUACGGGAGGCAGCAGUGGGGAAUAUUGGACAAUGGGCGCAAGCCUGAUCCAGCCAUACCGCGUGGGUGAAGAAGGCCUUCGGGUUGUAAAGCCCUUUUGUUGGGAAAGAAAAGCAGCAGGUUAAUACCCCGCUGUUCUGACGGUACCCAAAGAAUAAGCACCGGCUAACUUCGUG
rnacentral:rRNA from 1 species